rnacentral:rRNA from 1 species
CAGCCGCCGCGGGAAAACGGAGGGUGCAAGCGUUAAUCGGAAUUACUGGGCGUAAAGCGCACGCAGGCGGUCUGUCAAGUCAGAUGUGAAAUCCCCGGGCUUAACCUGGGAACUGCAUUUGAAACUGGCAGACUGGAGUCUUGUAGAGGGGGGUAGAAUUCCAGGUGUAGCGGUGAAAUGCGUAGAGAUCUGGAGGAAUACCGGUGGCGAAGGCGGCCCCCUGGACAAAGACUGACGCUCAGGUGCGAAAGCGUGGGGAGCAAACAGGAUUAGAUACCCCAGUAGUCCCUGUCUAUUAUAC